CAUUUGAUCAGCUUAUGAACUAAAUGCAUGUUAACACUUAAAUUGAGUAUAAACAUGAGAGUCGAAUUGCAGGAAGACCAGUCUAAAGAAGUGUUUUCGAAACAACUGCUCGAUAUUGGUAAUGGUAAUAUUGCUGUUGAUACAUCAUCGGGGUAGAUGGUUUUCCCAAACAUAGCUCAAAAUUACGUAAAUCACGAUGGUUAAGCGAACGUGUUAUAUUGGCCGCAAAGAAUGUUGAUGUGAACGAAAUGAAUUUUCAGAUUCAAGAGAAAAUAGCUGGCGAAUUGAAGAAUUACAAAUCAGUUGAUUCCGUUACUAAUGAUGAUGAUGUUGUCAAUUAUCCAACAGAAUUUUUUAAUUCGCUGGAAUUACCCGGCUUACCACCUCAUAAUCUGCAAGUAAAAAUCAAUUUAGUAAUUACUAUGUUACGGAACAUAAACCAGUCACGUCUGUGUAAUGGCACCCGGCUUGCGGUGAAGAAAUUAUUGAACAAUGUCAUCGAAGCAACAUUUUUAAAAGGGAAGUACAAAGGCGAAGAUGUUUUAAUCCCACGCAUCCCUAUGAUACCGAACGACAUGCCAUUCAGCUUUAAGCGUUUACAGUUUCCAGUGCGGCUUGCAUUUGCAAUGUCAAUAAAAAAAUCGCAAGGGCAGUCGCUAAGUAUGAUACAAAUCUGGUUGGCGAUGAUACAUAUGAAAUACCCGGAACUUCUCUUACGGUUGGAUCUCUCGUUGAAGUAGCUGAUUCCGAACUAUCUGAUGAGCUAAAUGGUGUCAUUCGAUGGAUUGGAUUACCUUCCCAAUCAUCUAAUAACUUACUCAUAGGAAUUGAACUUGAAGAUGACGUAGUAAAUUUGAAACAUCUUUCAACCUUCAAUUGAAGCUAUAAUGGGAUUCGAUGAUACAAAUCUGGUUGGCGAUGAUACAUAUGAAAUACCCGGAACUUCUCUUACGGUUGGAUCUCUCGUUGAAGUAGCUGAUUCCGAACUAUCUGAUGAGCUAUAUGGUGUCAUUCGAUGGAUUGGAUUACCUUCCCAAUCAUCUAAUAACUUACUCAUAGGAAUUGAACUUGAAGAUGACGUAGUAAAUUUGAAACAUCUUUCAACCUUCAAUUGAAGCUAUAAUGGGAUUCGAUGAUACAAAUCUGGUUGGCGAUGAUACAUAUGAAAUACCCGGAACUUCUCUUACGGUUGGAUCUCUCGUUGAAGUAGCUGAUUCCGAACUAUCUGAUGAGCUAUAUGGUGUCAUUCGAUGGAUUGGAUUACCUUCCCAAUCAUCUAAUAACUUACUGAUAGGAAUUGAACUUGAAGAUGACGUAGUAAAUUUGAAACAUCUUUCAACCUUCAAUUGAAGCUAUAAUGGGAUUCGGUAAAUUAAUAAUUAAUUUGUGAAACAUGUAGUACCAAAUUUAAUUAGACCGUGAAAAAUAAAUUGUUUAACUUUUUACUUAACUCUAA